GGUUCCGUAGUGUAGGUGUUUAUCACGUUCGCUUCACACGCGAAAGGUCUCCGGUUCGAUCCCGGACGGAACCA
rnacentral:tRNA from 1 species